UCACCGCAAAAACACGCGGGUCUUGAGGGUAUUCGAGUCGGAUUUGAUUGGGCGAGCCUACAUGGCAUCGUUUCAAGGCUAUUGAAUCUUGCCUGAAACGGCGUCGCUUCAUGCCUUCAAUUAAAAGGGAAAAUCAGCUUGAAAAUUAAAACAUUUCUGCAGAACUAAAGGGAAAAUUGGAAACCCUAGAUGAUUGCUCUUAUUCAGCCCGCCGUUCGGCCCUUAUUCCACCAUCACGAUUGGUGGAUAAUAGCCUACGGUGGAGCUCCCUCUUUCCUCGACUCUAAGGUUUGAUGAUUCUAGCCACGAAGUCCUCUCUCCGCCUUCGAUAUCGAUGAAGGGGAUGGAGAUCUCCAUGGCGCACUUACAAAGGUACAGAGUAUGGGGCAUGCGCUGGCCCUUGGCGUGAGGUGUACGGAGGCGCGGACUUGGCUACUGGAGUGCUGGAGCGUACAGAGGCGCUGGAGGCUAGCUGCGGCGCAACCAUAGGCUAGGGUUUCUACCUUGGUUUUGGCUUUCGAGCGUUGGGCCUAUUGUAUUUGGGCCGGUUUUAUCAUUGGUCUUGGUGUGUUGGGCCUGUAAACUGGACACUUAAUGGACUAUUAACAUUUGGAUUUUUUGUUUAUUUAUUUGGGCUUGUAUUGGGUUCGGGUUUAAUUUUUGUUUAUUUUGUAUUUUGGUGGACCCGGGCAAAUUGGCCCGUUUACAUCAGCAUAUAUCUUUAUAACUUUUAAAUGAUUAAAAUGUUAUCAAAUUUUAAUGCUAAAA